rnacentral:misc_RNA from 1 species
ACCUGUAUCACGUCUUAAGACUCGCAACGUAGUAUCUGUAGACUAGCUAAACGGUAUCGGGAAUGAUAUUAUCCGAACACAAGAUGAGCGUGUUGAAUGAAGAAAGUCGUCCUUCGCUACGAACAAUCUGGAAACCUAGACUCGCAAGUCUAUAUGUUGAAGUGUUUUCACCAGUUAUGAUAUGUCUGCCGAGGCCCUGCACAUGCUGAUAACACACACGUCAACACAAAGUGCAAGGGUCCAGGUGCGGAGUAAUAUAAGUUAUUUCCAAACAUCUCAGUCACGUUUCAAGACGAAACAUACAGUCACGACCGAAAUAUAAAACAUUCACAAAACAGUUGAUGACAGAGACAUGGAUGCAGUCGUUAUGUUUCUGUGAUAUUCGUAACGUGCAUGUGUAGGUAUUAACCUUUUCUUGACGCAGUACAUGUAAGAGGAACUAACUACACUGUUUGAUGUGAAAACAACAUGUACGUGUUAAGACCCGUUCUCCUUUAAACAACACAUGUAACUUAACGACGCAGUUUCAGCAUCGCAGUCACAUCCAUCAACGCGUCGGAGAUAUCGGACUCUGUGAUAGACCAGCGAGUGCACUACCUACUCCAGCCUGUUCCCUCACGAUCUUGUCCCUGGCGUUGCUUAUUCGCUCCAGCACAACAGCAGGCUGUACUAUAUACCAGUGGCUGUUCGAGGGUACUGCAUGGAUUGCUGUGAGAUGUUCCUGGAAGUACCAUAGCUGGCAGACACAGGAUGUUGUCAUUCAGCGACCCCGUGACUGUAGGGUUCGUUAUCUUCCUGUGUUGUGUGCUGCUGUUAGCAAUAAUCUGUGCACUUAUAGAAUACUGCCACGUCGUGCAUGACAAAUCUAGAUGCCAUGCCUACAACCCAGUGGCUAAAGUGUGACGUCACUCAAUAGGGACAACAGAUCAAGUGACGUCAGUCAGACAGAUACCCAACGUCUGCAUCAGAUCAGACAGUGUGACACUGUGUCCGAGAGCGUCUACCAGGAGUCAAUGACAGAUCAAGUGACGUCAGUCAGACAGAUACUCGAAGUCUGCAACAGACAGACAGUGUGCCAUUGUGUCCGAGAGCGUCUAUUCGGCAUCCAUGGCAGAUCUGAAGGCCGGCCUGCACGUUCAAGACAAUGGAGUGACGUCGCCAGGCAGUUUGUGUUAACGUUUGUCACACUGGCGUUCUAAGUGGACAACAUGUGGUGUGUUGUGCUUUACCUUCUUAAAACUGACUUCACAAGAAAGAAGCCCGUCAAUGUCCGGAUGAUACCGGAUUGGAAGAAGUGAUCUCGUGAUCAAUGGAAUCAAGCCACGUCGUGAUGUGUACACCAGCACAAGGACAAAUUACGGCACACGGCUCAGCCGUACACUUCUCUGAGUUUGAGGCAGACUUUGAGGAUGUGAAAUUCGUACUACUGCCUUGAGGCACAAUGAUUACAUAUGCAAAAUGUGGUUGCAUUUUGGUUGCACUUCUUGCACCUGUAUAUUGAUUGUUUUGUAUAUAUUAAUGAAAACUAAACAAACUCAUGCAUUGUAACAGAUGUUCCUACAGAGAAAAUAAAUCAAUGCAUGCUACGUUUUAUGACUGACUGAAAUGUACAUGACAUAUAUUUUAUA